rnacentral:snRNA from 1 species
CAGUGUGAGGGCAAUCUGGCUGUGACAUCUGUCACCCCACUGAUCGCCAGGGCUUAUUUGGUUGAUCCUGCUGGCUGGGCAGGUGUCCCCUUCUUCCCUCACUGCUCCCGGUGCGUCCCUCCCGUAGCUGCGCGCUCCGUGGAAGAGGGCCACCACCCCCAUAGAAGAGGACCGUUCCUCGGUCACGGGUAUAGGAGCAGCUGUGCUCCCUUGUUAGAGCAUCCAAACAAGUUCUACAGGAACAAAUUCUCUUAUCUGGUAAAAAUACUAGAUUUAAAUAAGAACGAGAAAUUCAUGAAUGAAUGAACCUUAAGAACAUUAU